GAAAGAGUGAGUUAAAUGUUGGUAGGUGAUAUAGAGAUAGUAAUUAGGCAAUAUAAUUCGAUGUUGUUGAAAGAGCUGAGCUAUGAAAUGCAUUGUGAUAAAGGGGCUGCCUGUGUAAGUAAAUGGGUAUAAUGAGGUGUAAAACUCCCUUUCUCUCUCUCUUUCUGCUUCAUAAGCCUUUCUGCUUCUCAAGUCCAGACCUGCUGUUUUUGGGGUUUCCUUCCAAUUUUUUUGCUGCUUCCCUGGGGCCUUGGCUCUUGGGCCUGCUGCCUCUUCCCACUCUACACCUUUGGAUUCCUUAUCUUUGGCUCCACCUUAUUGCUCCAUUCUCCAAAGACAAAUCCACAAGGCAUAGGAUUUUACAGAAUAUGGGGUUACAGAAACAGCAUAGGGAAGUGUAAAAGCCUAGAAGCUUCUUACAGACGCAGCCCCUUGUCUGUAGCUCCUGACUCCCACUUAAAUGUCUGUUGGAAGCACCCUGGGGUAGCAGAACCCAGCUCAGAAGAUGGGGCUUAUCCACCAUGCCUUUUCCUAACCUGACACCCACCCAGAUAAUCUUUUCAAUAUGCAAACUAGAGCGUAUCACCCCCUGCUCAGAGCCUUUCUGUGACCUCCCAUUUUGCUUCCCAGGACUCCUUGCUCCUUAGCCAGGUCUCCAGGUCCUCCGUGAUCAGGUCUCUGCUCUUCUGCAGCCUCAUCUCUGCCAUUCUUCACCUUUUGUGCUCCAACCCAAUCUGGUUUUCUUCUCAUGCUUUGAACACCCCAAGUCUGUCUGCUUCAGGAGCUUCGUACUGGCUAAUCAUUCACCACAGCAUACUCCCAUCUAUACGGCUGGCUCUUAUAUUAUGGGUCUCAGCUAAAAUGUCAUCCCUUCAAAGAGACCUUCUUGGACCACCCCCGCCAUUCUCUAUCCUAUUUCUCUCUUUUAUUUUCUUUGAAGCACUUACCCACUUUCAGAAACUAUCUGGCUUGCUCAUGUGUUUGUCUCUAGAUUGUCUACUUCCCCUCCUAGACUGUACUCUCCACAAGAGAGCAAAGCUGUGUCUGUUGCAUUCACUGUUGUCUUCCCAGAAGCAAGCAGCAUGCUGGAGACCCUCAAAUACAUGUGAAAUGAAGGGACACCUUGUGUUAUUUCACCUGUUUCCACCUGGUUCCCAAGUGGCAAGCUUGCAUUGAGGUUACAAAGUGGCAAAGCUGGGAUAUCACAUGAUGUCACCAUGAUGCUAUAUGAAAUGUAACAUUAAUUGAGUACCUAUGUGACCAGUUCUUUAAUUCUGUAAGUGAACUCUCAAAAAACCCUAGGUAAGUAUUAUCAACUCGAACUUUAACGGAUGAGGAAACUGGAAUUUUUUAAAAAAUGACUUAACCAAACAUCACAGAGCUGUAAACCAGGAUUUGAAUGGGUGAGCUGCACUCAGCCUUCAUCUCAAGUCAGUUUGCCUCUUUCUCCAAGAAGCCACAGUUGAUCCUGACCACAUCACAUAUGAGUUGCCUGGAUUGCAGUCAUUCAUUCACUAAGCAUCUUUUAGGAGGUCACAUGCCAGGCACCGUGUUAGGUAAUGAUUUCUCCAAGUCACAGGAGCCGUGGUUCUGACUUUAGAAAGUUUCUCAUCUGAUGGGAGGGCAGGCAAGUAAAUCAGUAAGGGUGGUCCCUGUCGGGACACUGGUUGAGAAAUACCCAGGAACACUCUGAUUGAGAAAUACCCAAAGUGCAAAGUGACAGGGACUAGAGGCAUCUCCACUGGACCAGAGAGCUCUGGAUUCGUCUUGAGCUAAGUCUCUGGAGGUAGGUGUCAGCUACAAGGAGAAAAGCUGUAUAUUUUGAGAUAUGGGAUGCAGGGCCUUUUAGUUCCAUAAAUAAGAGAACUAUGGUGUGAAUACCACAUGCCCUGGGCUGAACUAAGUGGGCUCUAGGGGAAGGUAUACUGGGCAGGGAGUUUGGAGAACUGGUUUCUGUCUAAUCCUUCUCUAACUCUGUGACCUUGAAUGCAUCAUUUCCCCUCUGAGUCUCAGAUUCUCUUUCUGGCUGGCAUUUAAUGAAACCUAAAUAUUCUAGACCUUCUACUUGUUCCAUAAGUGCUCAGUCCUACACUCACUCUCCUCUGGCACCAAUAUACUGAUUACUCAUUUUAUGCCCAGCAGAGCACUGCGUGUUUUGAAAUAUACAAAUAGUGGGAAACGAAAUCUUUGUUCUGGAUGCAGUUAUAAUUUGGAAAGCGAGGAAAUAAAUUAUAACAAGGGGAAAAAACAGAAUACUACUAAAGUCAUGCCGUGUGACUUCUGAAGCUAGCUCCUAAGAAGUCCUUGCAGCUUCUGCCUGCGACUCUUAGAACACUUGCUUUGAAGGAUGCCAGAUGCUGUCUUAAAAGUCUGAGCACUCUGAAACCAUCAUGCUGUGAGGAAGCCCAAGCUAACCACAUGGGCAAAAAAGAUGCCCUCUGACUGCCACCAUUUGAGACACUCUAAUUAAGAACUGCCUCAUUGAGCCCAUGAGGCCCUGUGAAUGAUAAUAAUAAAUUGUUU
rnacentral:lncRNA from 1 species